GACGAACGCUGGCGGCGUGCUUAACACAUGCAAGUCGAACGGAAAGGCCCUGCUUUUGUUGGGUGCUCGAGUGGCGAACUGGUGAGUAACACGUUAGUAACCUGCCCUUGACUUUGGGAUAACUUCAGGAAACUGGGGCUAAUACCGGAUAGGAGCUCCUGCUGCAUGGUGGGGGUCGGAAAGUUUCGGCGGUUGGGGAUGGACUCGCGGCUUAUCUGCUUGUUGGUGGGGUAGUGGCUUACCAAGGCUUUGACGGGUAGCCGGCCUGAGAGGGUGACCGGCCAAAUGGGGACUGAGAUACGGCACAGACUCCUACGGGAGGCAGCAGUGUGGAAUAUUGCACAAUGGGCGGAAGCCUGAUGCAGCAACGCCGCGUGCGGGAUGACGGACUUCGGGUUGUAAACCGCUUUCGCCUGUGACGAAGCGUGAGUGACGGUAAUGGGUAAAGAAGCACCGGCUAACUACGUG
rnacentral:rRNA from 1 species